GAUGAACGCUAGCGGCAGGCUUAAUACAUGCAAGUCGAGGGGCAGCAUGAAGUAGCAAUACUUUGAUGGCGACCGGCAAACGGGUGCGGAACACGUACACAACCUCCCUUUAAGUGGGGAAUAGUCCAGAGAAAUUUGGAUUAAUACCCCGUAACAUAGCGAUGUGGCAUCACAUUGCUAUUAUAGCUUCGGCGCUUGUUGAUGGGUGUGCGGCUGAUUAGAUAGUUGGCGGGGUAACGGCCCACCAAGUCUACGAUCAGUAGCUGAUGUGAGAGAAUGAUCAGCCACACGGGCACUGAGAUACGGGCCCGACUCCUACGGGAGGCAGCAGUAAGGAAUAUUGGACAAUGGACGCAAGUCUGAUCCAGCCAUGCCGCGUGAAGGAUUAAGGUCCUCUGGAUUGUAAACUUCUUUUAUAAGGGACGAAAAAAGGUCUUUCUAGAUCGUCUGACGGUACCUUAUGAAUAAGCACCGGCUAACUCCGUGCCAGCAGCCGCCGUAAAAC
rnacentral:rRNA from 1 species